UGCAGGACUUCUGAGAGACUAAAUUGAUCAAUAAAUGGCGGCCAGGUACAACUGGAGAAGCAAGCUUCAAUUCCUUGUAUUUCUACAGAACCUUUCCCAAAGGUGCUGAAGAAUAACUGUGCCAAAGAGACCAUAGGCAAUGAACUCCCCAGAAGCCUGAGGCCCAUAUUCACAUAAACUGUCUCUAUCUCAGGCCAGGCGCGGUGGCUCAUGCCUGUAAUCCCAGCACUUUGGGAGGUCAAGGCAGGCGGAUCACGAGGUCAAGAGAUGGAGACCAUCCUGGCCAACAUGGUGAAACCCUGUCUCUACUAAAAAUACAAGAAUUAGCCGGGCAUGGGGGCAUGCACCUGUAGUCACAGCUACUUGGGAGGCCGAGGCAGGGGAAUCGCUUGAACCCGGGAGGCAGAGGUUGCAGUGAGCCGAGAUUGCGCCACUGCACUCCAGCCUGGCGACAGAGCAAGAUUCUGUCUCAAAAAAAAAAAAAAAAAGAAAGAAAGAAAAGAAAAAAAACUGUCUCUAUUGCAGAACUUGUCAGUUUGACAGGCUAGGCAUUUCCAAAAUCUAACUCCCCCGCUUGAUGGGCACCUCAGUGGUGGGGGUAGGAAGUGACAGAGCUCUCUCAUUCAUGUAAAUAAAGGUGACUGCAUCCCCCUCAUAGCUGUGGGUGGUGGAACUCCUUUUAUUUCUAAGAUUAAAAGAGCAAGGCUGUAGGGGGCAGAGGAAUAACCUUGUGGAAGAGAAGGGGCUGAGGUGGACAGGGGAGUUGGCUUUCAGGAAGCAGAAGUCAGCUGUUUUACAGUAUGGAUUAGACACACACACUCCAGGUGUUUUGAAACAAGUUUCCCAAAGCACUCAGCAGUCUGCAUUCCUUUCCACGACUCUCUAAGAAAAGUGUCUCUUCUGGCUUAGGAAGAAUCAUAAAAAAAUUGCCACCCUGACCCCCUCAUCUUAAUCCCUCGCCAUUUGGCGAACAAUAGAGAAAACGCACCUGACAAAGGUGUUGGGCUAAUGCCACAGCUCCUUGUCUCUUUCUGAAGAGCUGAGCGGGAGGCAGAAGAUCAAGCUGAGCCCCUGAUUUGAGUGUCUUUUGGAAAUGCAUAAAGCUGCAGACGGAAAGGCGGCUUUCAUGUGCAAAUCAUCUGAGGCUGGCACUACUAGCCUUGGUCCUCCUAGUCUUUGCCCAAUGCUUUCUUUAAUCUUGAAAUUACUCCUCUUUUCAGAUCUAAUGUUUUUGCCAGACAAGAUUUGAAAAUACAGAGAUACUGAAUGCAUUUUCACAUGCUCAGUAGGGGGAACAAUUUGCCUAUUGAGUACAGCAGAGUGGAACAGAGUAGAGUGGAGUACAGUAGAGUAAAGUAGGGUGGAGUUGGGUAGAAUGGAAUAGACUACAGUAGAGUGGAACAGAGUAGAGUGGAAUAUAGUAGAGUGGGCAUUUCUUACCAACACCCCUCUGCCCUGAAGAGGUUUUGCCCUCUUGCUCUGUCUUGCCCAGGCUGGAGUGCAGUGGUGCGAUCUCGGUUCACUUCAGCAGCCUCGGCCUCCUAGGUUCAAGCGAUUCCCCUGGCUCAGCCUCCCGAGUAGCUGGGACUACAGGCAUGCAUCACCACACGCGGCUAAUUUUGUAUUUUUAGUUGAGACAGGGGUUUCACCAUGUUGGCCAGGCUGGUCUCAAACUCCUGACCUCAGGUGAUCCACCUGCCUGGGCCUCCCAAAGUGCUGGGAUUACAGGUGUGAGCCACCACGCCUGGCCUCUCUUUUCUAACUCUGAAUUGUCUCUUAUUAUUAUCCCCAACAAA
rnacentral:lncRNA from 10 species